GGUGGAAGCUGAAUUAGUGAGAAUGACUCCUGCUCCUGUCAUCUCUAAGCUCCUCACACAUCUUUACCUGCACAUGAGGAAAAUCACUCCUGUAGAAUGCAGAUGUUCAGAGGGAGAUGAUGCCACAUCUGGUCCAGACGAUGGAAGGUCUUGAAGUUCUCUGACUGGCCUCGACUGAAGAUGGUCGUCUCACUGGAUUUAAGAUGCACAAUGAGGGACGUCUGCAGAGACUGAGAAAGAGUCUCACCACAUCCUGACAUGAGGAAAAAGACUUUAUUGAAGACUACAAUGAGAAAAACUAUCAGACAGCAGAUGGCUGCAUUCAAGGUUACAGGAGGAGCCCUACGAGGACGAGCUGGUCCACCUGAUGGUGGCCAGUCGCUGUGGUUCAAAGCCAACACCGACUACGUGGACUUAUACUGGACCACACGGAGGCCUUCAAACCGGACCAACAAGUUCACCGACUCCCCGACUCGUGGGUCUGAGGACGCCGCCGAGCCUCGGUCCAGCUGGCCGCCUGUCUGUG
ensembl:lncRNA